CAUGUGGCUCGCGAGCCGCAGUUUGCCGACCACUGUCCUAGACCAUUGCUAGCAAGACACACACCCUACAGAAAAUCUGUCAGAGCAAACUGUUAAAAAAGCAGCCUACUGUGGAUGCUCUCCUUCACCCUCCCGUUCUUUCCUUUUUCCCUUCGAUAGAGCGAAAAGCAAUCACACACCUGAAUGCUCUUCUUUUACUUGGUGCUACCACAUUUUCAGUCAUUUUUCUCCCCCAAACUGCAGGAGCUGGCUUUGUUUUUUCAUCUGCCCUAAAAACUUACUACAGCUACUUCACAGCUGUGCUCGAACCCGCAAGGGCCCAGAACAAGAUCUGGGAAGCAGACACACACGCCAAUACCGUGGAACCACAGGGACUGGACAGAAAGGGAUAGACUUCCUCUGGAUUAGGAAACUGAGGCCCAGAAAGGAUAAGGAACAAGCUCUGCAUCACACAGCAAGCAGGUGACUGAAGGUGGAAUUGAACUGGGACUGGCUGACUCCUGAGGCUACCACACAGCCUCUUCGUUUCCUCAGCUGAUAGGCAGUUGAACUCAGAGCCUUUCCCUUCGGUGCAGUCUCCGCGAGCCCCAACCCGCAAAACAGAAACAAGCAGUUCCGUGUGGGCUGAAACAAGACCCAGUCUGAAAGGAAGCAAUCUGUCAACUUCCCAGCCCAACCAGGUCUCCAAGCAGAUUCCUCCCCUCGUUCGGGGCACCCACAGAGGCCCUCUGUCCCUUGCACCAUUGUCUCUCUAGGUGCCCGGGACACGGGUGCCAGCUUCCCACCCAGCUUUCAAAGGGACUUCCUCGUCUGGGGCUUUCUCCCAGGCACACCAUCGCUGGACUGUUUCUGUGUUUCCUGGAGUUUGAACCUGAACACCAGUGUUUGUCCAUCAGUCCUAGGUUGCCUAGCACUAGCUGCUGAACUUGGUUCAAGGUCGGUUUCUCUCCCAGCCAGCGGGAGAAGUACAGGCUGGGGGCUGUGCAUGUCGGUCCGGGGAAGGCUGGAAUUGCCCAACGUCCAGAGGGUCUGGCCAGGGCUUGGGGGUGGGGGAUGGGCAGUCAGGCCCCUUCCGUUUGAGGAAAUGGUCAGGGCAGUGGUGAGGCCUUCGAGUUUGGCAUGGCGCCUAGACCACGUCACCUUCUUGGCUCCUUCCUGGUGGCAGGACCUCAGCCAACCUCUCUUGCCAGACUCCCCCGUUUUCUUAGCUACCCUGCCAUCUCCAGUGUGGCCAUGACAGUGAGAUGAACUCCUGAAGGGAAGCCGCAUGGCCCCAGGCCUGGCACAUGGUAAGGCUUCAGUCAUUCAUAGCUAUUAUUAUUGUUGUGUUGCUGUUGUUUUUAAGCUCCCCUUCCACCCAAAACAAAAAUCCACAGGCCUAUGGACGUGCCCCGUGUGUUUCUGGAACCUCAGUUUUGCUCUGCUAGCAGCAGCCACAGCUCCCUGAUAAGAAAAUGGUCUUACCCAAGCAAAUGUACUCAUGGCACAAACCCGGCACAACCUGAGCUCCUGACUCAGUUUCCUCACUGUCUAGAGAGGUGUCAGGACCCUCCCUAAGGCCUCCACAGCCCUAUAUGACCUAAGCCCCAUUUAUUCUCUGCCUCCAUCUCCAAACACCCUUGGCCUUGCUCACCUGCCUCAGCUGUGCACACCUCCCUGCCGUCUCAGCACAGUCCUGCCUCAGGACCUUUGCACUGGCUGUCCCCCCGCAGUGGACCGCUGGCACCCCAGGUAUCUACAUUGCUCGCUCCCUUAUUUAAGCCUUUGCUUAAAUGUCACCUUCACAACCAGGCCCACAUGGAUCACCCUAUCUGAAAUCGCAGCCUCCUCCCCCAGCCUCCUGACACCUCCCCCACUCUUCUAUACCACAGUCUAGUUAACAGCAUUAUGUUUGUUAUUCCACGUCUGUCUCCCCAAUUAGACUGUCAGCUCUGGGAGGACAGGGAUCGUUGUGUGUUGCUGUCCAUGUGCCCCACAUGCCCAGCACAGGUCUGGCAAAUGAAUAAAGAGAAGGCAGUGUGGAGGGAAGGGAGAGAACCCUGACACCCUCCACACACUUCACUCCCCCUUUCUGCAUCCUGCUCCCAGCACAGGUAGCCCUGAGGCCCCGCCCAACCCGGGAGCAUCAUCAGGAGGCCUUGUUAUCCUGAGUUUCCACAAAGAAAGGUGAAUUAUGCUACUUCCCCUUCCACCUACCUACCUUUCUGAGAUGCCAAAUCCUAUAACUUGUUUAACCCUGUGAGGCAGACACCCUUACCCAUUGCCCUGCCCCCCUCAGACACACGUCUUUGGGGCCACUGGAAUGAGACACUGAGAGGUAGAAGCAACACUUGGGAAACCUGCUGGGGAAGGGACCUCUAAGAUCGUUUCUCCCUCCUUGGCUAGACAGAGUUAGGGUUAAAUGCUCAUUACUAGACCUCCCGCCUUCUGAACCACGAAUAUGCUCUUCCUAAAACCAUAAUUUAAGAAAAAGUAAUUGUUUAUUACAUGCCAAAUCAUUUCCCCCUAUGAGGUAGACACCACUCAAUUCACCCUAUGAGGUAGACACCACUAAUCUCCCCAUUUUACACGAGGAAACUGAGACACAGAGAAAUUAAGUAUCUUGCCCAAGAUCACACAGCUAGUUAGUGCAAAGCCAGGAUCAGAAUCCAAACAGGCUCUUUCUAAAGUAUAUGUGCUUGCCCUAGCCAGUGUUGCUCAGUAGAUAGAGCAUCAGCCUGUGGACUGAAGGGUCCCGGGUUCGAUUCCGGUCAAGGGCACGUGCCCGGAUUGUGGGCUCGAUCCCCAGAAGGAGGCGUG